rnacentral:rRNA from 1 species
GAUGAACGCUGGCGGCGUGCCUAAUACAUGCAAGUCGAGCGAACAGACGAGGAGCUUGCUCCUCUGACGUUAGCGGCGGACGGGUGAGUAACACGUGGAUAACCUACCUAUAAGACUGGGAUAACUUCGGGAAACCGGAGCUAAUACCGGAUAAUAUAUUGAACCGCAUGGUUCAAUAGUGAAAGACGGUUUUGCUGUCACUUAUAGAUGGAUCCGCGCCGCAUUAGCUAGUUGGUAAGGUAACGGCUUACCAAGGCGACGAUGCGUAGCCGGCCUGAGAGGGUGAUCGGCCACACUGGAGCGGAGACACGGUCCAGACUCCUACGGGAGGCAGCAGUAGGGAAUCUUCCGCAAUGGGCGAAAGCCUGACGGAGCAACGCCGCGUGAGUGAUGAAGGUCUUCGGAGCGUAAAACUCUGUUAUUAGGGAAGAACAAAUGUGUAAGUAACUAUGCACGUCUUGACGGUACCUAAUCAGAAAGCCACGGCUAACUACGUG